UUAAGGAUUACCAGAGUAAAUUAACACAAGCUUUCAAGUCCUCCAACCCUUCAUCAGGCUGGAAACAAAAGAAAGCCCAGUGUGAGCAGUUGUAAUCUUAAAGUGGGUGACAGGAUGUGCCGCCAAGGAUGUUGGAUGCAAAAUGGGUGUUUCUGGUUGCACCAAGUUUCUGGGACAAAGAGAGAAACGGUGAGAUGGUGUGGUAGAAGAGGUUCACCUCCCAGAGUGGAUCUGUGAAGAUGCUUUGUCAGAAGUCAAAAAAAAACCACCUGCCUCUGGAGCUGACCUUCCCUGGAAAAUUGUAUUCCCCCUUCCAGGUUCCUGAGGCAAAUUAAAGCUGCAAGAGCCUGCAAUAUACAUUUUAUAGAUGGAUGGCAAUGUAUGAUACUUGGCACACUUAUCUGAACCCUUAGCAGAAAGAAUUUGGGGUACCCGAGAUAUCAUGGAUGGGGGAAAGAAAACAAUUUCAAAAUUCCUCCUGCCCCAAUCCACUCCCUGCUGGAUUCUAAGCUUUCAGGGGCUCAAGCUGGCCAAAUGUGUUACCUCCCAUUUUCCAC